GGCUUUGUAGUUCAGUGGUAAGAAUACCAUAUUGUGGCUGUGAGACUUGGGUUCGAAUCCCAGCAGCCA
rnacentral:tRNA from 11 species